CAGGACUUUUACUUUGAAAAAAUUAGAGUGUUCAAAGCAGGCCUAUGCUCGAAUACAUUAGCAUGGAAUAAUAGAAUAGGACGUGCGGUUCUAUUUUGUUGGUUUCUAGGAUCGCCGUAAUGAUUAAUAGGGACGGUUGGGGGCAUUAGUAUUCAGUUGCUAGAGGUGAAAUUCUUAGAUUUACUGAAGACUAACUACUGCGAAAGCAUUUGCCAAGGAUGUUUUCAUUAAUCAGUGAACGAAAGUUAGGGGAUCGAAGACGAUCAGAUACCGUCGUAGUCUUAACCGUAAACUAUGCCGACUAGGGAUCGGGCGAUGUUCUUUU
rnacentral:rRNA from 1 species